GGCACCCCGCCUCUCUCCAGCGCCCCAGCUGGAGAAGGGGCCCGCACCCCCGCCCACCCGCGAUGCCUAAAGAGGAAGCUGCGUGGCCCCUUGCGUGCUGUGGCUGCUUCUCCCAGGUACAGGAGGCACGUGCGCUUCUGCGUUUUCUCGACAGGCAGCGCUGUUCUAAUGAAGGAUAACCCAGGCUGUUCUCUAGAGUCUCAAGAGUUUGAGGACCAACCCAGCUGCAAAGCAUCUGUCAUGUGAGGGGCACAUUCAAGGGUUCUGUGAACUCAGAUGUCAUCCUGAGAGUCACCAUUCAUCCCAGCUCCAGCAUCAUUUAAUGAACUUUUACAAAUGUUUCCAUUGGGUACCCCAAAUUCCCCUGAGGAUG
rnacentral:lncRNA from 1 species